GCAUCGGCGGUUCAGUGGUAGAAUGCCCGCCUGAUACGCGGGUGGCCCGGGUUCGAUUCCCGGCCGAUGUA
rnacentral:tRNA from 1 species